rnacentral:rRNA from 1 species
GCCAGACUCCUACGGGAGGCAGCAGUGGGGAAUAUUGCACAAUGGGGGGAACCCUGAUGCAGCGACGCCGCGUGGGUGAAGGAGCACCUCGGUGCGUAAAGCCCUAUCGGCAGGGAAGAAAAGCGAACAGGUUCGCCUGGACGGUACCUGACUAAGAAGCCCCGGCUAACUACGUGCCAGCAGCCGCGGUAAUACGUAGGGGGCAAGCGUUAUCCGGAUUCACUGGGUGUAAAGGGAGCGUAGACGGCAUGGCAAGCCAGAUGUGAAAUACCGGGGCUCAACCCCGGGACUGCAUUUGGAACUGUUAAGCUGGAGUGUCGGAGAGGCAGGCGGAAUUCCUAGUGUAGCGGUGAAAUGCGUAGAUAUUAGGAGGAACACCAGUGGCGAAGGCGGCCUGCUGGACGAUAACUGACGUUGAGGCUCGAAAGCGUGGGGAGCAAACAGGAUUAGAUACCCGGGUA